AUGGGUGAUGUUGAGAAAGGCAAGAAGAUUUUUAUUAUGAAGUAUUCCUAGUGCCACACCGUUGAAAAGGGAGGCAAGCACAAGACUGGGCCAAAUCUCCAUGGUCUCUUCGGGAGGAAGACAGGUCAGGCCCCUGGAUACUCUUACACAGCCGCCAAUAAGAACAAAGGCAUCACCUGGGGAGAGGAUACACUGAUGGAAUAUUUGGAGAAUCCCAAGAAGUACAUCCCUGGAACAAAAAUGAUCUUUGUCAGCCUUAAGAAGAAGGAAGAAAGGGCAGACUUGAUAGCUUAUCUCAAAAAAGCUACUAAUGAGUAAUAAUUGGCCACUGCCUUAUUUAUUACAAAUGUCUCAUGACUUUUUUAUGUGUACCAUACUUUAAUAGAUCUCAUACACCAGAAUUCAGAUCAUGAAUGAUUGACAGAAUAUUUUGUUGGGCAGUCCUGAUUUAAAACUAAGACUGGCUUGUGGUUAAAUGAAUAUUUCAGUUUUUGAAUUUUAACAGUAAUUCCAAUUCAGUAAAUGCUAUCACUGUUUACCCCUUCUAAAGAUAUGAUUAGACUUUGUUAUUAAUGUUCAACUUUUCACAAAGAUGGUGAGUGCCGUCUUAAAACUUACUGGAGAUUGGUUUUAUAUUUAGAUUUAUAUACCUGGUUAUGUGAAUAUAUUUAAAUACUGGGGAAAUUCCUUCACUGUCUCAGAACCAAGCAAGAUUCACCUGUGUUUUGUGUUCAUUUGCCUCUUAAAGGCAAGGGUUGAAGAUAAAUAAGGUAGCAAUGUCUAGAGUUUUGGCCUUAACGAUGCCAAUCUAAUUAUAAUUCCCUGUAUUUAAAAUGGUUCCUUUUACUUAUUGAAAGGCAUUUUAGUAUGGUUUAUAUGUAAUAUUAAAGAUCAUUCAACAC